rnacentral:rRNA from 1 species
UGGGUGAUCUGCCCUGCACUUUGGGAUAAGCCUGGGAAACUGGGUCUAAUACCGAAUAUACCUCACUGGUUGCAUGACCUGGUGGGGGAAAGUUUUUGCGGUGUGGGAUGGGCCCGCGGCCUAUCAGCUAGUUGGUGGGGUAGUGGCCUACCAAGGCGACGACGGGUAGCCGGCCUGAGAGGGUGACCGGCCACACUGGGACUGAGACACGGCCCAGACUCCUACGGGAGGCA